ACACAUGCAAGUCGAACGGACAAUUAUUUAUAGCUUUUGGCUAUAGGCAAUUGUUAGUGGCAGACGGGUGAGUAAUGCGUAGGAAUCUACCUAGUAGUACGGAAUAGCCAUUAGAAAUGAUGGGUAAUACUGUAUAAUCCCCGCGGGGGAAAGAUUUAUCGCUAUUAGAUGAGCCUACGUUAGAUUAGCUAGUUGGUAAGGUAAUGGCUUACCAAGGCUAUGAUCUAUAGCUGGUCUGAGAGGACGAUCAGCCACACUGGAACUGAGAUACGGUCCAGACUCCUACGGGAGGCAGCAGUGGGGAAUAUUGGACAAUGGGCGAAAGCCUGAUCCAGCUAUGCCGCGUGAGUGAAGAAGGCCUUCGGGUUGUAAAACUCUUUCAAUAGGGAAGAUAAUGACGGUACCUAUAGAAGAAGUCCCGGCAAACUCUGUGCCAGCAGCCGCGGUAAUACGGAGGGGGCAAGCGUUGUUCGGAAUUAUUGGGCGUAAAGGGCACGUAGGUGGACUAGUAAGUUAAAAGUGAAAUACCAAAGCUUAACUUUGGAGCGGCUUUUAAUACUGCUAGACUAGAG
rnacentral:rRNA from 1 species